AUUGAACGCUGGCGGCAGGCCUAACACAUGCAAGUCGAACGGUAACAGGAAGAAGCUUGCUUCUUUGCUGACGAGUGGCGGACGGGUGAGUAAUGUCUGGGAAACUGCCUGAUGGAGGGGGAUAACUACUGGAAACGGUAGCUAAUACCGCAUAACGUCGCAAGACCAAAGAGGGGGACCUUCGGGCCUCUUGCCAUCGGCUGUGCCCAGAUGGGAUUAGCUAGUAGGUGGGGUAACGGCUCACCUAGGCGACGAUCCCUAGCUGGUCUGAGAGGAUGACCAGCCACACUGGAACUGAGACACGGUCCAGACUCCUACGGGAGGCAGCAGUGGGGAAUAUUGCACAAUGGGCGCAAGCCUGAUGCAGCCAUGCCGCGUGUAUGAAGAAGGCCUUCGGGUUGUAAAGUACUUUCAGCGGGGAGGAAGGGAGUAAAGUUAAUACCUUUGCUCAUUGACGUUACCCGCAGAAGAGGCACCGGCUAACUCCGUG
rnacentral:rRNA from 1 species